UUGGGGAGCGUAUUGUAGAUU
rnacentral:miRNA from 1 species